GGGGAAUCUUCCACAAUGGACGGAAGUCUGAUGGAGCAACGCCGCGUGAGUGAUGAAGGUUUUCGGAUCGUAAAACUCUGUUGUAAGGGAAGAACCAGUACGUCAGGCAAUGGACGUACCUUGACGGUACCUUAUUAGAAAGCCACGGCUAACUACGUGCCAGCAGCCGCGGUAAUACGUAGGUGGCAAGCGUUGUCCGGAAUUAUUGGGCGUAAAGCGCGCGCAGGUGGUUUCUUAAGUCUGAUGUGAAAGCCCACGGCUUAACCGUGGAGGGUCAUUGGAAACUGGGAGACUUGAGUGCAGAAGAGGGAGGUGGAAUUCCAAGUGUAGCGGUGAAAUGCGUAGAGAUUUGGAGGACCACCGGUGGCGAAGGCGACUUUCUGGUCUGCAACUAACGCGGGGGCGCAAAAGCGUGGGGAGCAAACA
rnacentral:rRNA from 1 species